rnacentral:rRNA from 1 species
CCCUUAGAUGUUCUGGGCUGCACACGUGCUACACUGGCAGGUUCAGCGAGCUUCAUGCCCUGAUCUGAAAGGAAUGGGAAAUCUUUUCAAAACCUGCCGUGCUUGGGAUAGAUGUUUGCAAUUAUUCAUCUUCAACGAGGAUUGCCUUGUAAGCGCACGUCAUCAGCGUGCAUUGAAUACGACCCUGUAUUCUGUACACACCGCCCGUUGCUCCUACCGAUUGAAGUUUUCGGUGAGUUGACAGGAGGAUUUUUUUGAAACUGGUUCGCCAGUGGAUUUUAGAUCCAAAUGCCAACGAAUCGAUGGCUUUAGAGGAAGGAGAAGUCGUAACAA